UUUUUUUUUUUUUUUUUUUUUUUUUUCACUUCGCCAAGUUCUAAACGUCUAAUUUGUUUUUGUGAAAUGGCCUUUUCAGGCCCCUUUUAGUAGCAAACUGUUUGAACGUGAAAUUACAAGUCUCUUUAGAUUUGAUUCGCUCUCAUUUCCCAAAUCUUCAUACAUUAUGAAGCUUGAAACAAAGUUAAUUUUGGCUCCAAGGUUCUCCUCUUUGGUUGUCAUCUUGGUCUUGUUCCAUCCCUUUAAGGAAUAAUGGUGAGGCCAUUUUAGUUUCUGCCUCUUCAAAUUCCCAGUUAUCAUCUUUCUCUGAGCCACCUGUCCACCUGAAGACUCCUGAUUCGGCCUGUCUUGGGUCACCUGCUCUUUCAAUUGUUGCUGUCACCCAAAACCAACCCUGUCUAUAGUGUAGUUAUGGUUUUAAAUUGAUCUAAAAAUCUUAAUUUUUGUAGGUCUUGUCUCUAGAUUUGCAGUGCCGUGUUUUGUUGCAACUGACCUGCUGCCUCCAUCUGUUCAUAAUCUUCUACUUCAACACACAAACAAAGUUGUUCUGUCCUUUUUUGCUCUGUUUAUGUGGAUUUCCACAAGGACUAUGUGUAUGACCAAAAACAGCAUUUAAUAUUUUUCCCCUCCUUGUUGGAUCUGUGCUAAUGAAAGUUGGGUGCCUUCGGGUGCUGCAAUGUGCCUCAACUGCUUAUAAUGUGUUUUUAAGAAAAGGGAUUUUAGAUUUUCAUUGAUCCUGAAUGUCACAUUUGCACUCUGCCUUGUCAGUUUUUACACCACUCUUUUAAUUGACGUAGUCAUCUUGUAUUUAGAGAAUAUCAAGUUGGCAAUUGCUCUCAGGAAAAUCAGUACUUGUGAUUUUAAUGAACAAUCACUUGAGACCUUUGCCAACCGUUAAGCUGCUCGGGACUAUUUGAAUCCAAUCGCAAUCUUAGAUUUUUGCCUUUUUUGCACCUGUAUAUGUGUCAUGAUUUUUAAUAAAGUUGCUUUUAAGGUACUUUUGCCCUCAGGUGUACUUCACUUUUGUAUAGCC
rnacentral:lncRNA from 1 species